rnacentral:lncRNA from 10 species
CCCACCUCAGGGAAGGAUACUUCCAACCAUCUGGUCCCAAAACUGGAGCCCCAGAAUCUCUCACUUUACCUCUCUAAACCUCUCUCUGGUCUAUCCCCUCCCAUGCAUCUUCAUUUCUACCACCUUGGUCCAGGCUCUUACCUUUUCUUGUUUGCAGUGGUCAUAAGGAGUGGACUGUGACCUCAUCUCUGCAUUCCAGUCUGGCACAGUGUCUGGCAUAAAGUGGGCCCUCGGAAAAGAACUGCAGCAGCCAUACUGCUACCUCAGUCUAUCUCCCCUGAGACCAAUUCAGCCACUCUGAGAAGAACAGAUCAACAUGAUGGGAAGAACCUGAACUCUUGAAGAGGUCAGCAAGAGAAGAUAAGGAGCCAUUUCUGCUUUCCAUUUAAGAAAAAAAGAAAUAGUUCUCUUUUUUGAAGAAAGUACAUGAAAAAAGAAGAGCAUCAAAUUUGGAAUCUGCCAUCUUCAACAGAAUCUGUCCUAAGGAACUAUUCAGAAGCUAAAACUAAAAUGUAUGCAUAGAUAGCCUAUGCAAUAUUAUUUAUGAUAGAAAAAGUAAGUACCAACCUAAUGACCAAUAUUAGAAGAAUAUAAAAUAAAUUAAGAAAUAACCCUAUGAUGGACUAUUAUGCAGCCAAUUAUAGAUGGUAUUUCAAAGAGUAUUUCACUACCUGGAAACAUAUUUAAUAUAUAAUACUAC